ACUCCAGCCUGGGUGACAGAGCAAGACUCUGUCUUGGGAAAAAAAACAAAGAAGGAAAAAAAAAAGAAUUCAGAGCAAGGAAUUCUCAACAACCAGCCCUGUGAUGGGAGUAGAAACCUUGCAGACGAAAAGAAAGAACAUAUUGUUUUUUAGAGGAACAGUCUGUGAUGUCCUAUGGGUGUUCUCAGGUGAGUGAGGAGGAAGGGGAUCUGAUAUGUAAGUGCCAGCAAAGGCAUGCCUGCUCCUGAGCCAUACAACACCACACAAAGACAGGCUUUACACAUGAAACCAAGGGCCAGGGAGCUGAAGUAGCAGGAUGAGUUAUGUGGGUAGUAAGCAGUGGAGCAGGGAUAAGAACAAAGGCCUGACUCCAACAUUUAUGCUCUUUCUACUAUACUGUUCCACCAUUAAUUCCACUUCCAGAACUAAGAAAAUAAGUGUUUACUUCAGUUCCCGUAAGAGACAUUGCUUUCUUCCCCAACUUUCUUGCUUUGUUUCUUCCUCAUGUAUCCCUCAGGACCAAAGAUAAAUGGAAAAACAGGAGUGGGAGGUAGAAAAAGGAAUAAAACAAAGAACUGACAUCCCAAAUCCACAAAACACACCUACGAUGACACACACACAAAACCCAAAAUUAAAACAAAGGAGAGAAUUAAGCAAUUUACAGAGGAAAACCCAAAUGGCCAGUAAAUAUAUGAGAUGUUCAGCCUCAGUAAUAAUUAGGAAAAUACAAGCAAAAACCACAAUGAGAUCCAGCUUCACACUAUCUGACUGGUAGUGGGAAGGCUGAAUGGACUAGGAUGGUACCUGUGGGAAGAAACUUUGAGGAGACAUUUGAAGACAGACUUCACUGGAUUUGCCAACUAGUCAACCAGUGGCAGGUGGAAAGAGGGAGUUAAAAAUUAUUCUUAGAUUUCCAAUGAGGAUGACUGAAAGAGCAGUGAUGCCAUGAACAGAAAUAGGGAAGUUAUAAGCAGAGAAAGAUCAUGAGGCUUAGACAUCACCGGCCCCCGAAGGUGAGAAGAAGGAAUUGCUGGUAUGGAGUAUAAGACCUUCAACAGCAUGGAGCUGCUAUUUCACCGGCAGGCUGUGCUGCGCUAGUGCCCAGCUGCCUCUGAGGAAAGGUGCAGAUGAAUCAAAAAGAGCACGGGUGUGGCCUGGUACCUCUUUUUUAAUACUUAGAUUCUUUUGAGCAAUGUGUGCAACUUCUAACUUUUUAGAACAUCAACACGCGCAUUUUGACCCCAAAUCCACUUUUUACUGAAUCAGUUUCUGCUUUGAGACAAAGGUAGUCUCCACUGGUGCUCCUGUAAACCUCCCCGGCCUCCCUGCUAAGCUGUCUGAACCCUGCACAAGACCUGAGGCUGUUUGCCUGCUGUGAACAAGCUCUUCUGUUUUCAGUUCCCUGGUUACAGAAUGUGGUGUCCCGGCCAGGCCCAGCGGGAGAGUGGGAAGAAACACAAAAGAAGGCGGCAGGAUCCCAUGUGUUUCUAAUCCAAAGAAUAUCACUGAUUUGAAUUCAUCACCUCUACUGAUUCCCAUUAAUAAAUGUUAAUGGAAUGGGCAAGGAAAUGAUCCGACCUUUUGAAGAUCCAUGGACUGCAAGCAAAUAUGACGAGUAGGGUGGCUCUACCCUUGAUAAUUUCAAAAGGCACAAGCAAUAAGGGGGUUCAUCUGCAUGACACUGGCCCCUGUGGACAGGGUCUUUAAAAUGAAUAUGUACAAAAGAAGUGAUAAUCCUGCUACAAUAAUGGAGGGAAACCAUCAACAGAAGACUGAUUUCUGAAACUUUCUGAAAUAUGGAAAAACGGAAAGCGGAAAGUAAAGUACAAUAUUUACUCAUGCAGCAAAGCAAGGGAAGCCAUAAUCUUGAAUAUAGGCAUCAACGGGGGAUAAGAAAACACCGACCCGUUUGUCAGAAGUCCAGUGAGGUGCUACAGGAGGAGUGGGUGAGAAGUUUCCGAAAACACUAGAUUUAAUUAAAGAUGUGGCUGUGAGAAAUCUUGACACUUCCUCCUCACUCGCCCUGGCUCAGACCCAAAUUACAGGCAGUUAAUAGGGAAAAGCAUCAGAGGGGUCAUUGCUAAAAUAACUGAACAACUUGGGUGCAGGAAACUGUGGUAACUAGUUAUAUAUAACCGUGGCAGCUAGUUAUAUACAACCGUGGUAGCUAGUUAUGGAGCCCCAGAGUAAAUCCUCAUCCUUCCAUUUUGAAUAUGGUAGUCCCAGGAAAAGUGCCAACUCCCUAUCCAUGAACGUACAAAGAUGAGGAGCAGCUACUCCAGUCCCUUAUUAUUUUUUCUCUAGCCCCUCAUUCU
rnacentral:lncRNA from 1 species